rnacentral:rRNA from 1 species
GUAGGUGGCAAGCGUUGUCCGGAAUUAUUGGGCGUAAAGCGCGCGCAGGCGGUUCUUUAAGUCUGAUGUGAAAGCCCACGGCUCAACCGUGGAGGGUCAUUGGAAACUGGAGAACUUGAGUACAGAAGAGGAAAGCGGAAUUCCACGUGUAGCGGUGAAAUGCGUAGAGAUGUGGAGGAACACCAGUGGCGAAGGCGGCUUUCUGGUCUGUAACUGACGCUGAGGCGCGAAAGCGUGGGGAGCAAACAGGAUUAGAUACCCUGGUAGUCCACGCCGUAAACGAUGAGUGCUAAGUGUUAGGGGGUUUCCGCCCCCCUUAGUGCUGCAGCUAACGCAUUAAGCACUCGCCUGGGAGUACGGCCGCAAGGCUG